UAGAAAAUGGCCAUUUUUCAAAAAAAAAGUAUCAAAGAGCGAAAAAUUCUAAA
rnacentral:sRNA from 1 species